GUGCCAGCAGCCGCGGUAAUACAGAGGGUGCAAGCGUUAAUCGGAAUUACUGGGCGUAAAGCGUGUGUAGGUGGUUUGUUAAGUCAGAUGUGAAAUCCCUGGGCUCAACCUGGGAACUGCAUUUGAUACUGUCAGACUAGAGUGUGGUAGAGGGUAGUGGAAUUCCGCAUGUAGCGGUGAAAUGCGUAGAGAUGCGGAGGAACACCAGUGGCGAAGGCGGCUACCUGGACCAACACUGACACUGAGGCACGAAAGCGUGGGUAGCAAACAGGAUUAGAUACCCUGGUAGUCCACGCCCUAAACGAUGGGUACUAGACGUCGGGAAGUUUAUCUUCUUGGUGUCGCAGCUAACGCAAUAAGUACCCCGCCUGGGGAGUACGGUCGCAAGAUUAAA
rnacentral:rRNA from 1 species